CCCAAGUAGCUCAGUCGGUAGAGCAGGGGACUGAAAAUCCCCGUGUCGGUGGUUCGAUUCCGCCCUUGGGCACACCA
rnacentral:tRNA from 1 species